AGGGCGUACGGCGGAUGCCUUGGCCAUAUCAGCCGAAGAAGGACGCGAUAAGCUGCGAUAAGCUGCGGUGAGGUGCAAGUAACCAGUGACCCGCAGAUUUCCGAAUGGGGAAACCCGGCAGUAGUAGUACUGUCACCUCUCGUAUGGGAGGAGGGCACCCGGUGAACUGAAACAUCUAAGUAGCCGGAGGAAGAGGAAUCAAAAGAGAUGCCCCCAGUAGCGGCGAGCGAAGCGGGCAAAGCCCAAACCGGAGCGGGAAACCGCACCGGGGUUGAGGACUACCAACAAGUACCUAGAUGAAGUCGAAUCAGGUGGGAACCUGAGCCAGAGACGGUGAGAGCCCGGUAGACGUAAAGAAGGGUAUGGGGUAGUAUCCGGAGUACCACGGGGCACGAGGAACCUUGUGGGAAGCAGGGGGGACCACCCUCCAAGGCGAAAUACUGAUAUGGACCGAUAGCGCAUAGUACCGUGAGGGAAAGGUGAAAAGAACCCCGGGAGGGGAAUGAAAGAGAACCUGAAACCGUAUGUCUACAAGCAGUCGAAGCACCGUAUGCGUGCGACGGCGUGCCUAUUGAAGAAUGAACCGGCGAGUUAUUUCAUCCGGCGAGGUUAAGCGGAAAACGCGGAGCCGAAGCGAAAGCGAGUCUGAACAGGGCGAUAAGUCGGAUGGAAUAGACCCGAAACCACAGUGAUCUAUCCAUGCCCAGGUUGAAGCACAGGUAAAAAUGUGUGGAGGACCGAACCAGUGAGCGUUGAAAAGCUUUUGGAUGAGGUGUGGAUAGGGGUGAAAUGCCAAUCGAACGUGGAGAUAGCUGGUUCUCCCCGAAAUAGCUUUAGGGCUAGCCUCAUGGCAAGAGUGCAGGCGGUAGAGCACUGAACAGGGUAGGGGCCUAUCCGGCUACCGAACCUAAUCAAACUACGAAUGGCUGUACUUAUCCAUGGGAGUCAGACUGCGAGUGAUAAGACCCGUAGUCAAGAGGGAAACAGCCCAGACCAACAGCUAAGGUCCCCAAUGCCGUACUAAGUGGUAAAGGAUGUGGAGUUUCGAAAACAACCAGGAUGUUGGCUUAGAAGCAGCCACCAUUAAAAGAGUGCGUAAUAGCUCACUGGUCGAGAGACUCUGCGCCGAAGAUGACCGGGGCUAAAGUACGGAACCGAAGCUUUGGCAUGUAUGUAAAUACAUGGGUAGGGGAGCGUUCCUGCAUGGGCGAAGCCUGACCGGAAGGACAGGUGGACAGGCAGGAAGUGAGAAUGCCGGUAUGAGUAGCGAAAAGAAAGGUGAGAAUCCUUUCCACCGAAAGCCUAAGGGUUCCUGGGCAACGAUCGUCGACCCAGGGUAAGUCGGGACCUAAUCCGAGGCGAAGACGCAUAGGAGAUGGACAACAGGUUGAAAUUCCUGUACCGACGUCGUCUGUUUGAGCGAUGGAGUGACACAAGAAGGAAAGUUCGCAUGCGAUUGGAAGAGCAUGUCUAAGCAGGUAGGUUGAAUACCAGGCAAAUCCGGUAUUCUAAAAGCCGAGAAGUGAUAGGGAGCCUGUAGAGAUACAGGUGAAGGAACCGGGACUCGAUUGUCAAGAAAAGCUUCUAGUGAGGACGACGCCGCCCGUACCAAAACCGACACAGGUAGGCAAGAAGAGAAUUCUAAGGUGCGCGGGAAAACCCUCGUUAAGGAACUCGGCAAAAUGUAUCCGUAACUUCGGGAAAAGGAUAACCCAAAGUACGUGAAGGAAAGAAACAUCCGGAGCGGGAAUGGGUGGCACAAGAGAGGCCCAAGCGACUGUUUACCACAAACACAGGCGUCUGCUAAAGAGAAAUCUGAUGUAUAGAUGCUGACACCUGCCCGGUGCUGGAAGGUUAAGAGGACGUGUUAGCCGUAAGGCGAAGCAGAGAAUUGAAGCCCCAGUAAACGGCGGCCGUAACUAUAACGGUCCUAAGGUAGCGAAAUUCCUUGUCGGGUAAGUUCCGACCCGCACGAAAGGUGUAACGAUUUGGGCACUGUCUCAACGAGGGACCCGGUGAAAUUGAAGUACCUGUGAAGAUGCAGGUUACCCGCGA
rnacentral:rRNA from 1 species